GACGAACGCUGGCGGCGUGCUUAACACAUGCAAGUCGAACGGAAAGGCCCUGCUUUUGUGGCGUGCUCGAUUGGCGAACGGGUGAGUAACACGUGUGUAACCUGCCCUUGUCUUUCGGAUAACUUCAGGAAACUCGGGCUCUUACCCGAUAGGAUCUCCUGCUGCAUGGUGGUCGUUGGUAAGUUUCGGCGGUUCGGGCUAGACUCGCGGCUUAUCAGCUUGUUUGUGUGGUUGUGGCUUACCAAGGCUUUGACGGGUAGCCGGCAUGAGAGGGUGACCAGCCACAAUGGGACUGCGAGACGGCGCAGACUGCUACGGGAGGCAGAAGUGGGGAAUAUUGCAGAAUGGGCGGAAGCCAGAUGCGACAGCGCCGCGUGCGGAAAGACGGGCUACGGGUUGUAAACCGAUUUCGACUGAGACGAAGAGUGAGUGACGGUAAUGGGUAAAGAAGCACCGGCUAACUACGUG
rnacentral:rRNA from 1 species